AGAGUUCCAGCCCCAGCCCGAGGUGGGCACGACGCUCCGGGCUCAGCAGCAAGCACUCCGCUCCCGUCCAACUGCUGGCUGAAUCAGGUGCCUGAAAAAGGGCUUUGACCCAGUGAGCCCCACCUGAAAAAUGCCAUUAGCGUCAGCCCACCCCUGGCCCAGGGUUCCUCCACGUGACCUUGAUGGUUUCCGGAGCUUUCAUCACUCCUGGGUAUCCGGAGGUUUCGGAACUAGGCUCCAGGCCACCCUCCAAGACCUUUUGGAGCAGAUUUCCUCUGAAGAGAGUGUUCGACCAAGAGGGGAGGGCCACCUGGGGUGACUUCCUCCAGGCCCUUGGCCUGCCAAGGCAGAGGCCCUAAGAAGUGGCCCAGGAACAGCACAGCUCCUCCCUUCCCAUCCCGACCCCUGACCUGCCCCAGCUGAGAAAAAGCUGUGGCUUGAGAUUUACAACUAGGGGGGGUAUGCGGAUCUGUUUUGCAUUCUUGGAGCUGGGUCACGGCAGAAAUGCAGGAAUUUGGGAAGUAAGCCACCCGGAUGCCCAGUGCUGCCUUUGGCUGGCAUAGAAAAAGUUUGAUCUGUUUCGGUCUCUCAGAAAGUCCUGAGCCUGAGCCCCCACUGCAGGUGAAGCUUGAGGAGGGGCCUCCAUUGGCUGGCUGCAGCUCUGGUAAUUCUGCUCCCAAUCCACAGAGGGAAAAAAAAAAAAAAGAAAAAAAACAGCCCGAGGCUGGACUGCAGCUUUCCUGGAGAUGAAGGGCGUGCUUGGUUGGCAAGAGGGAUGGUGACUGGGGCCUGAGCAAGGCCAGCAAACUUUCCACCACCUCUGUGUCCUGGGGGAUAUGCUCUAGAGUGAAUGGGAGGGCUGCGAAGGACAGGGAACAUGCAUUCUCAGUCUUAGAGUUUCUCAGAUCAGCUUUUCUAUCCCUGCUGGCAGGGCAUGGCUGAGGCUUCUUGGGAGGUGGUGGGGAGAGGCUUAAGGCCAAUGCAGUGCAGCUCGAUGGUUUGCUGGAUGUUUGAAAGACUUUCCUUGAAAGCUUGGUGUCGCAGAACAGAAGGUUCUAGAAGCAUUAUAAUGGCAGGAGGAGGAGGUGGUGGUGUCUGUCCUGAGCCUUGUUCGGCCAGUAAUUUGGGAUAAUUGAGAUCAUAGACACUCAGCUGUGAGGGAUGGCCAUGAACUGAGAGGAAGAAUCAAGACUCAACAAGCUCUCACACAAGACGGCAGGUGAAGAGGUGCAGUGAAUGAGGGGAACUUAGCGGUAGAUGGAAAAUCCUACACCUGGAUUUGUAUUACCCUUGCAUCCUGAAACCUUGCUAUAAUCAUUAUUCCAGGAGGAUUUUUGUCGAUUCUUGUGGACUCUGCACAUAGACAAUCAUGCCAUCUGUGAACAAAGACAUUUCUUCUUUCCCAAUCAGUAUACCUUUUAUUUCCUUUUCUUGUCUUAUUGCAUCAGCUAGGACUUCCAGCAUGCUCUUGAAAAGGAGUGGAGAGAAGUGACAUCGUUGCCUUAUUCCUGAUCUUAGUGGGAAAGCGUCUGGUUUCUCACCAUUUAAUACAAUGUUAGCUGUAAACUGUACUCUAUCAGAUUGAGAACAUUCCCCUCUAGUCCUAGUUUGCUGAUUUGUGUGUGUGUGUGUGUGUGUGUAUAAAAUGAAUGGGUGUUGGAUGUUGUCAAAUCUUUUUUCUGUUUCUUUAAUGUGAUCAUAUGAUUUUUCUUUACUUUGG
rnacentral:lncRNA from 1 species